rnacentral:rRNA from 1 species
AGAAUCAACGCUGGCGGCGUGCCUAACACAUGCAAGUCGCACGAGAAAGGGAGUUCGCUCCUGAGUAAAGUGGCGCACGGGUGAGUAACACGUGAAUCAUCUACCUCCGAAUGGGGAAUAACUGAGAGAAAUCUUAGCUAAUACCGCAUAAUACCUACGGGUCAAAGCAGCAAUGCGUUUGGAGAGGAGUUCGCGGUCGAUUAGUUAGUUGGCGGGGUAAUGGCCCACCAAGACGAUGAUCGAUAUCCGGCCUGAGAGGGCGCACGGACACACUGGAACUGAAACACGGUCCAGACUCCUACGGGAGGCAGCAGUGGGGAAUUUUGCGCAAUGGGGGAAACCCUGACGCAGCAACGCCGCGUGGAGGAUGAAAUAUCUUGGUAUGUAAACUCCUUUCGAUGGGGAAGAUAAUGACGGUACCCAUAGAAGAAGCCCCGGCUAACUUCGUGCCAGCAGCCGC